rnacentral:rRNA from 1 species
UACGAAGGGGGCUAGCGUUGCUCGGAAUCACUGGGCGUAAAGCGCACGUAGGCGGAUUGCUAAGUCAGGGGUGAAAUCCUGGAGCUCAACUCCAGAACUGCCUUUGAUACUGGCGAUCUUGAGUCCGGGAGAGGUGAGUGGAACUGCGAGUGUAGAGGUGAAAUUCGUAGAUAUUCGCAAGAACACCAGUGGCGAAGGCGGCUCACUGGCCCGGUA